rnacentral:sRNA from 1 species
GUGGCCCACAGGUUGAGAACCACCAGUCCAGAGGGAGUGCCUAAAACACAAGUAAGUAAUUGUAACACAAUAUGCUGGGACAACAGGCAGAAGAUCCAUUUCUACCCUCAUAGUAUUAUAGAAAAUGCUGCAUUUGAGGAAAUCUUACUAAAUUGCAUGAUAAGAGAAAAUGCUACUAAGAAUUCAGAAAGAGACAGAGAGACAGAGAGAGACAGAGAUACAAAUCAGUGAUCAGAGGGAGUUUGGAUUUAAAUUAAAAGUAGGGUGUACAUGUGGCAACUGUCAACAAUGAGGAUAAUAUCUAAUACAGCACAUGCAUGCCAUGUGCACACAACUAACUCACCUGAGUCUUGCACCUGAUAAUCAUCUCCACAGCUCCUCGGUGUUGAUAGCCAUGGCACCGAGUAGAGGAGAUGGGGCAGAGAACACUCAUUAGAAUACUUGGCAGAAGCAGGCUAGGGACAGAGCCACUGUGCUCCAGAACCUGUGUUCCUGGGGAAAAUGAAUAGUGACAAGGGAGGCUCUGAGGGAGAAGGCACCUAGGAGAGACAUCCGAAGCCCAGCAAGGUGUGGUAAAGCACAGAAUCGAGGCCAUCCAGGACCAUAUGAAAUGUCACUGCCCAGAGGAGGAAGGCAGGACAAUGAUUGUUUGUAGGGUAAAAGGAAGCCAGUGGGACUUGACUGGGGACUUUUAGAAUAUCAUCAGCACUGGCAGAGGAGAAGAGCCAUCGGGCUUUAAAGAAACGUGAGUUCAGGGUUGGAGCACCCUGAAUGUGAACUGCUUGGGUAUCAUUCAAUGAUAUCAACACUCAUGCUGCUGAUGAACCAUGAGCAGGAGAAAGAAGGGAAAGCCAUCCUGUAGCAGAUACUCAAGAGGCUCUGAGAGAGACAAGCAGGAUUCAAGAAGAGAGGUCAAGGUAGCUUUCUACAAACACCAACAGAAUGAAUGGCGGCCCCAGCCAGGACGAAUGUCUUUCUUCACUGGGGAUUCCACAAAUGUAGUCGCUGGUGUGAUUAGAGGUCAGCUCAUGUUUCCUUUAGUGAAACAUUGUUUUCAAUGUCUUCUAAAUUUUCUAUUAAAGCCUAACCUUCUUAAAAAUAUUUCACACUUAUAUGGCACAAAGGCAAAUAGGUUUAUUACAUGUAAUUCAUAAUUAGAGCUUUGGGUGGUGUCCUAGAAGACAGAAGGGCCACCACUCUUGUAAAACUAAAGCAGGUCCCAAUUUCUGGGGCCAAUGUUACAUCUUCUAAUUAACUAGAAGCAGGAAAGAGAACAGAGAGGGGCAAUCUCUUUUGUUUCUUUCCCAUUCUGUUUCUCCUCCCCUCUUUGCCUCCUCCCACAAGACUGGAUACUCUAGUGAGGGGUGAGCACAGUCUAUUGCCUCAAAACCAUUGGUUUUUUUUUUUUAACUCCUGAUUGAGGGUUCUUUCAUUUGUUAGUUAGCCAAACAAAAUGCUUUAACCUUUUCUAGUCUUGGCUCAUAAAUCAACUCUCCAGCUCCUAAAUUCUUUGAUUGGUUUCCCUGGAAAACCUACCAGUUUAUCCCCUCUUUUGGGGACAAAGGAAGCUACUGUGACUCCAGUUUAAGCACAAUAGAGUUUACUUAGAGAUACCCCCACAGUGGGUCAUAAUGUCCUAUCAUUGAGUUCUUAUUAAGGAACACAUUAAAUUGUAAACCAUUACUGAACAGUCCCCAAAGUAUAUUCUUCUUAUUUUCCAUAUCUAAGCUCAUCCUGAAAAGUCUGACCACAGAAUCCAAAUAAAGCAAAAAACCACCUAACAGUACAGUUAAAAGCUCUGGACUGAACUGGUAACUUCCUGGCAGUCACUAAGAUGUAAACAGUUGAAUGGAAACAAGUUGAACUUAAGUCCCAAUACCAUAAGUAUAAGUAUAAUUUAUACUUGGGGUUUGGAAGGCAUCCCACGCUGCUUGCCUUCCAAAAGACAUGAGUUAAAACACUGAGGACUCAAUUUAUCCAGUUUUGCACGAGACUCUCAAGCGUCCCACUUGAGACCUUCUACUUUCUUCCUGAAAUUCUUAUACCCAGUCCCUAUACAUAAUUCUUUGAGGCCACCUCCGAUCGACCGCAGGAGUCCCUCCACCUUCUGCAGUGUCACCUUCUGUGCUCUGUGUCACUUUUUAAAGCCUAAUUAAAUAAACAAGAGUGGGGAGAAAAAGAAGAAGUAAGAGGGGAAAGGAAAGAGGAAAGAGAAAAGCACACGGACUAUGGGGGUUUGAACUCUUUUCCCUGGGAGUGUUCAAGACAACACUCAGCUGAGAGGUAGGGGCCACAGGGCAUACAUGCACCUCUGAGAUGUGGGCCUUCCCGUGUUUCUCUGACUUUCCUCCACUCUUAGAUGAAAGAUCAGCUUUAUACAGCUCCAAAGGUCCUGGUGGAUCUCACCUCACCUGAUCGAUCACUCGGCUUUCUGCUGUUGUCUUGCCAACCUCUCCAGGCCUCUCUAACAGUGCUGUCCUUUCUUCUCUAGGGCUCAGCCUCUCAGAGAGGGAUGCUACUCAUUUUCUUCCUUCCCUUGACCCCUUCUCUAACCAGUGAUUGAUUCUCAACCUUGGUCACACAAUAGAGUCCUCCAGGGAAGCUUGCCCUUAUCCCUUGGUUUUACUGAUGUUGCUCCAUUUUUGUAUGCCCUGUGCCCAUUACAGUACUUGGCUCAUACAUGUAUUCCAAGUGUUUACGACAGAGAAAAGGGAGGGGGCCCAAGGCGCUUAAAAGUUUUGAGACGGAGGGAUGACCGUUGACUUUUCCAUUCACAAAUUGAAAAAGUUAUGCAUUUCAGAUAUUAUCAGAAAAUGCCAUUUUCCCAGAAUUAUGGCUGGCCCUACUCCUAGAUCCUUCCAGGUAAAGGUGGAAAGUAGACACUGGGCAUAUCUGAAAGUUCAAUGUAUAAAAUUCAUCAGAUCAGUGUGCACCUGGGCUCUAAGGACGGAAGCCAUGUUAUUGUCUGUUUCCCCUUCCCCGCCUUGGUUGCCUCCUAGAACUUGAAGGUGAGACCUUAUUGCUCAAGACAUCUCCCACUUUGAAUACAGGACUUGGUGGAAUCAAGCGGAAACUGACCUGGAAGCCUCCUCCUUGAGAACCGUCUCUUAAUAGUAUCAGAGGGAUGGGCAAUUGGGAGUCCCACCCAGGUAUAAACAAAUGAACAUCAACGAUGACCCUCACCUGCACACGCAAGAUGCCCACCAUCACGCGGCAGUGGGGCUUUUAUCUUGGGUGGAGGGUACCAAUAUCUAUUUCAUUAGAUGUAAGACCUUCCCCACAGGAGGAAAUUCAUGCCUAGUUCUGUAAGCCAACUAACUACUCAUGGCUAGACAGAAAAAUCUACUACUGCCAUUUUCCUAAGCCAAUAUAACUUCUAAAUAUAUUUGAAGAAAUUGUUAAUAUUAGUUGGCUAUUAGGUAUCCAAAACAUGCCAUUGAACCAUAAAAAUUAUUUUGAGCUAAGGACAUUUAAGGAUAGGGAUUUUCUGUUCUCUCACCCCUGCCAUCAAACAGAGCCACUAUAAAGAACCUAAUUAUUAUAAAUACCCAUCCCAAGAUUUUACUUCCAGGGAUAGAUGGCUCAUCGUUGGGGUCUAGAUGCUCAAAUAGACAUCAUGGCCAAGUCGUCAUUUCCCUCAUCUGUUUCUCUACAGUCCCUGUGUCUUUCCUAAGACUCAUUUUGUUUCCCAUGUGUGUAUCCAACCUUUAUUCUGAAGUCAUCUGUACUUGUCAGUCCCUCUCCUUGCCCCCUCCCCACUGUCCCUUCCCUGCUUUCUCUUCAGAUGAGAUAUAAGCACCAAGCUCUAAACAGUUACUGGAAGCACACUUCUCCACAAAUCUCCACCUACAUGCAUGAAUUUAUUUUUUAAACAAAAAUCUGUCCUCUCUGGCAAAGCUAACUUUUGCCAUUUCAAUUUUCACGUUCUCAGUCACAAGCCAAGAUGGUUUAGGAGGGCUUCCCUUGAGUUCGACCAGCUUUGUUGAACAUUGAGCAUACUUCAGUCAGACAAAUGAGGGAGAAAUCUGGACUUAAUUAAAAAAUAUGGAGUGUUUGAGUCCAAACAGCAAAAGGGAGGUAAGUCCUGGAUUUAGAGGGGUCCUAACACACAGCACCUCCCAAGAGGCCAAAGCCCUAUUUAACAUCAGAGUUCCAAACUCAUCUUUCAGAUGCUCUUUCUUCUCCUUUUGGGUAGUCUAAAAGCUAGCUUUAUGAUCAUUAAACACCUUUUUUUUUUUUUAAAGCAUGCAGUUACAAAUUCUCAGUGCUAGAACAACCACACAUUAGCACAGUAUGAAGACAUAGGCUGCCUAGGCCAGGAUGUCGUGAAAUGUGGGCUAUAAAGGAGCCCAAACAACAAGCCACCUGAACAUACGGACCUCUUUUAAAAUGGCUAACAUUUGUGUAUCCUGGCUUGGAGUUCUGGGAUUAACUUCCUAGCCAACUAGCAAGCAUGAACAAUGAUUGACCUGUCUGGCUAGCUGCCACAGCUUAGAAGGUGGGCACGUUUGGUUUGCUCUGACUUUGAAGUGCUUCUGGAACACACAGUUGUGACAUCUGAAGAUUGGUGGACAUACACCUUGCUAUCCAAGAGACAUAGAAGUUACAAAGAUUGAGACAGGCUGAACAGGAAUGAUAGGCCACAAAGCUGUAUACACUGUGACAUUUAAUGACACAGGCAAGCACGCAAGGAACAUGGCUAACUCUGUAGAAGAAACACAUGUUUGUAUGUCUCCCUACAAAGAAAAGUAUAAAUGGAUAGGUAGGAAAUCUUAAGACUCUAGUUCAUCUAAAUACUAUUUUUCUUUAUCCUAUUGCAUAUUUUUAUUUUUAAAUGCAGCUUAUUAUACUAAUACGUACUGAAUGCCCAUAAAAGCUCUAACAGAAUUGAUGGGUUUUAUUAACUGAAUCAUUUGUGAAUUAUUAUUUAUUUAUUUAUAUCCAAUGUGUUAUUUAUCCAAUGAAUGCUGACAACCCCAAGGCAGGAAGUGAUGUGCAGAGGUCACUGGGUCAGGCACCCAGCUCUUCAGCUAAGUCUAGUCUGGCAAGCAAUAGAAAAGGGGAUUUCAAGGUUUCUUCUACAAGGUGAGAAAGCGCUAUAAAUACAACUGCAAAAAAAAUGCUUAAUCACAUACCUUGGAAGUAAUCACUCACAUGGCAUUUCACCAAGACGGUCCAAAGCAAAGCUUAAUUCCUUUCUCUAGACUUGUGAGAACUUUCUGUCCUUUAGAAAAGAAGAGGAAAGAAAGAAGAGACAAAGAUAGAAGAAAACAGAAAGGAAGAAAAAGAAGCAUACUGCCCUCCCCCCAUUCUUAGGAGGAUGGGUCCUCUGCCAGCUGCUUGGUCCGUCAUCCUUUAAAUGCACGUCCACCCACCCAACCUGGGCCUUUGUCUCACCAUAAAUACAUACAUUUUAAAACUUGUAGAACCCGUACAUUUUAGCAUAGAAUGUAGUAAGGAUAUAAUUCUUUGGGGGUUUAUUGCGUUCACAAUGUCUCCUGAAUUUUUUUUUAAAUCACAUGGUUUUUCUCUGUGGCUACUGAAUUCUUGGAAGAUCACUUUACGUCUAGUGUAGAGGCACAAAAUGAGAGAAGGCUUCCUCAAUGCAGAACCGUUUCCAUUACUUACACCGGACAGAAAGCUUUUACCUGUAAUUAAGUAAAUCCAUUACAGGCUUUAAACCAAUGCCUGACAUGAAUUAGAGUUACAAAAUACAUAACCUUUAGUUGACCUGUAUUUCAUUCUUCAAAUUGGGCCCCAUCACAAUGAUCUACUAAGAGCACCACAAACAAUUUCCCUUCUAUUUGUCAGAGGUUUAAAUUGAUCAUCCUGUGGCUGCAGAAAGCAAGUAGUUUCGCUCUAACCUUUUGGGCCCAUCUCCUGAGAGCACAAUAUAUCAUAUUCACACUGUGACUUUCUGCGUGUGUCCUGUGGCUAUAAGUGCAUAUUUGGACGCCCUAUGGAUAUGAUACCUGCGGCAGGUAUUCAGUUUGGUCACUGUAACUGCCACAGUGUGGGGAUGGUAAAUGGCAGAGCGACUGUAUUUCCUGAGGAUAUCUUGUGCUUUGUUCUUGAGAAUUCCAUCUCACAUUAGCACAUAAGUUACCCAACUCUCUCAUCCAUCAUUGGUCACUCUGAUAGAUCAGAACGCUGGAUGUUUGCCCCAAAAGCACAGAGCCUGCUAGAGUGUGAGCUCUGGGGAGGGAGUCGUGCUGUGCUAAACUUGGAAAGCUGUUAACUCGGACAUUUCCUAGGUGUGCCCCUUGGGCAGGUGAGGAAGACACAUUUGUUCUCUCUGGGGUUGGAACAACAAGAUGUCAUCUUGGGAGCAGAGGUCACCAGAGUAGCCAUCAACUUGACUUUGUAUUUCCCAGCCUCUGGCACUGUGAGAACUGAAACUUGUCACUUAGGAAUAACCCAGUCUUGUGCAUUUUGUUAUAGCCGCAGACGAACUGAUAAAUCAGGACUGCUCUUAAACUUCUUGCACUGCAGCUGGGACAUUUGUAUCACUGCCAAGGCAAGAUAGACAAGCAUGGUGACAGGGUUCUGUAGAGUGUUGAGACUGUUCUAAUACAGCAGGAGGCACCCAGCCCCAAAGCACACUCGGGAGAGCUGCCUUGAGGAAGGGCCCAGCAGUAGGUCAGGCACAUUGAGUACACUUUGUCAGUAGUGGGCUAGAUUCGGCACCUGCAUAAUUGUAUGUCCUCCUCUUGGCAAGUCUGCCCUUUAACCCAUGACCCCUGUGAGGUCAAACGCUUUGUUUUUGGCCACAAAGCAGCAAAUAUUGAGGCAAAGUUCAUUCCGGAACUUUCAACUCUCCCAUCAUGUGACCCACACACAUUUCAGAGCCAGGUCUACUUUUACUUUUAAGUCAUCUGUACCCUGGGCUAGAGAUGUACCUCAGUUAGCAGUAGGUUGCUGGCUCACCAGGUGAAAUUUUAAAACGUUGUGGCUACCCAUGACUGUAGCCCAGGUACUCUUAAAGGCUGCAGAAUCAGAAGGUCACCCUUGGCUGCACAGUAUGCUUUAAGUCAGCCUGGGUUUCAUAGUAGGUACUACAGAAAAAGAAGGAAAAAAAGGAAAGGAAAAGAAGAGAAACUCUUGCCAUCAAGGUCUUAAAGCCAAACACAGACUGCACUGGGACUUCUUGCAACUUUAAGGGGAAGUGCGAGAGCCCCUGGCUAGAAUCAGUUGGGCAGACGCCAUUUUAGUCAGUACAAGACUGGAGAAGUAGAUGUGGAUCCGACACAAGCCCUGGACAGACAAGGCAUGGUCCUGUGCCUGAAGACAAGGUGAGGGUAUGAGGAAGGAAGAGAACCCAACCUCAACACCACAGGAUGAACAAAUCCAGGUGGGUGAUGGGGGAAUGGAACUCAAACCCCAAGAGCUACUGGGACACAAGACCCCAGGUAUGCUCCACCCUGGAGCCAGGGCAGGUGCAGCCGAGGCCCCUCGUUUCUACGCCUAUUUUAUUUCUCCUUUCCUAACACUGGUGCUCCAUGAUAAACUGGGGGCUGGAGAGAUGGCUCAGCGGUUAAGAGCA